UCUAGAAUAAUAUCUUCUUGC
rnacentral:siRNA from 1 species